rnacentral:misc_RNA from 1 species
GUGAACAUCAAAUUUUUUAACGCAAAUUGCACUCUCCGGUUUUCCGGGAGAGUAUGCCUGUUUGAGGGUCAGCCUAAAAAAAAUCGACAUUUUUUCUGUUUUAUGGUGACUUUCGUCGGAGAUGGUUUAUCUUAAAUCUCGGUUUAAUCGGCUUAAAAAUUUUUUUUACGAUUCUAAGAAUGUUUCUAAUAUUUUUCUUUUACUUUUAAGGUAUCUAGUGUCUUAUUAGACGUUGCCGUCAUAUCUG